rnacentral:piRNA from 1 species
UAAGUGAAAGGGCACCUUAUAGAUU